CACGUAGGGGGCGAGCGUUGUCCGGAUUUAUUGGGCGUAAAGAGCUCGUAGGCGGCUCGGUAAGUCGGGUGUGAAAGACCGGGGCUUAACUCCGGUUCUGCAUUCGAUACGGGCUAGCUAGAGUGUGGUAGGGGAGAUCGGAAUUCCUGGUGUAGCGGUGAAAUGCGCAGAUAUCAGGAGGAACACCGGUGGCGAAGGCGGAUCUCUGGGCCAUUACUGACGCUGAGGAGCGAAAGCGUGGGGAGCGAACAGG
rnacentral:rRNA from 1 species